ensembl:lncRNA Lemd2 LEM domain nuclear envelope protein 2
CUUUGUGACAGACGGGUCCAGGAGCCCACAGCCAGGGACCUGCUUUCAGGUCCCAGUGAGGUUCUUGCUGAGUUUCCUUUGGGUGGCCUUAGUUCACCCAAAAUCCAGAUAAGCAUUUAAGUAUCAGGUAAGUGUUCUUAGUCUUCUCGGCCGCAAAGGAGUCUGACGCUGUUUUUCUUUCUCCCUCAGCUGCGGAGAAUACAGGGACAGGCUGGGAAGGGUGUGUUGUCUUAGGCCAUCUUCCCGUCUCGCACCGUCUGUCCAUCCAGUGCAAGUGGCUGAUGUGUGGGCACCAUUGAGUCCCCCUGCAGCCCUUCCUCAGGCAGGCCUCAGACCUGCAGUCACUGACACUGAGUUCUGCCAGGCCAGGCAGAAGGCGGCCCUGCUGGAGCUGUUGCAUGAGCUGUACAACUUCCUGGCCAUCCAAGCAGGUAAUUUUGAGUGUGGCAAUCCGGAGAAGCUAAAGAGCAAAUGCAUCCCUGUCCUGGAGGCCCAGGAGUACAUAGCUAACGUGACCAGCAGUUCCUCUUCGAGGUUUAAGGCUGCACUGACCUGGAUACUGAGCAGCAACAAGGAUGUGGGCAUCUGGCUGAAAGGGGAAGACCCAUCUGAGCUAGUGACCACCGUGGACAAAGUGGUCUGCCUGGAGUCCGCCCGGCCCCGGAUGGGCAUGGGCUGCCGCCUCAGCCGCGCCCUGCUCACCGCGGUUACCCAUGUGCUCAUCUUUUUCUGGUGCCUGGCCUUCCUGUGGGGGCUGCUGAUCCUCCUGAAGUACCGAUGGCGGAAGCUUGAAGAGGAAGAGCAGGCCAUGUAUGAGAUGGUGAAGAAGAUCAUAGAUGUGGUUCAGGACCACUAUGUGGACUGGGAACAGGACAUGGAGCGCUACCCCUACGUGGGCAUCCUUCACGUGCGCGACAGUCUAAUCCCCCCACAGAGCAGGCGGCGCAUGAAGCGAGUAUGGGACCGCGCCGUGGAAUUCCUGGCUUCCAAUGAAUCUCGGAUCCAGACCGAGUCCCACCGAGUGGCCGGGGAGGACAUGCUGGUGUGGAGAUGGACUAAGCCUUCCUCCUUCUCUGACUCGGAGCGAUAGGACAGGGCCUAAUCAGCCAGCCUGGCUUGGCUGUGCCACCCAGCUGGGGCAAGGACACAGACCCUCGGUGCUCAUUCACACCUGCCUUGAUUGCCCUCCUGGUCUCCAUUCUGGGACACAUGGGCUUACUUAGGGGAGCCAGGAGAACGGGGAAGCCCCUCCUCUAUGCCAGUAUUACUGACAGAAGGGAGAAUGGCUUGUUCUCCCUGGAUAAAUCCUGGAGGUUCUGCACUCAGCUAGACAGCAGACAGUGAUCCUGAAGUCCCUCGCUUGGGAGGUGGGUCGGGUGGUGGGCUGGGGUAGCAGGGGCCUGGGGAAAGCUUGGCCCAUGUGCCUUUGUGCUGUUCCCAGCGAGCUUAAGGGUGAGGGGAGGAAUCCCGCCCCACUCCUGCAUGGGCCUCUUUGUCCAGAGGAGGAGAUGUUAGAACUUACAGAACAGAGGCGGCUGGGAUCCGGAAGGGGCGGAAGCUCCAGCCACAGCUGCCUGUGCCUCAGUGCAUCUCACAGGUCAGCAGUGCAGCCUGAGCCGGGGUGGAGCACAGCCUCAUCACGACUGUGACCGGGCCUCUCCUGACCGGCUGGCCAGAACAGAUAGGGUGCAGCAUCAUGGCUGCACACUGCCCUCUGCAGGCCUCAUGGAGCAACGUGGGCCAUUAGCACUCUGCUAGGGAAGACCUGCUCCAAAAACACCCAGUGGGAGGCCUCAUUGGCUGAGGGAGGCUUUCCAGCAACUGGUCCAGCGGGCCUCACCCACAGCAGCUGGAGUAGCCCCUGGAGGUGACGCAGCUGCCCCUUUUGGACCUAUUGCUGUUCUGUUUCUUAAUAAAGUACCAUCUCCGUCU